ensembl:lncRNA
GGGUGUCCCUUCACCACGGGUACCGGCACUCACGCGUUCACAGACAUACUCCAGCACCUGCUGUGUGUGUACGGGGCGCUCACAGACGUGCUCCGGCAUCUGCCGUGUGUGUACAGGCCACUCACGUGCUCACAGACGUGCUCUGGCACCUGCCGUGUGUGUACGGGCCACGCAUGCGCUCACAGACACUCUCCAGCACCUGCCGUGUGUGUACAGGGUGCUCGCACACUCACAGACGCACUCCAGCACCUGCUGUGUGUGUACAGGGCGCUCACACCCUCACAGACAAUCUCCAGCACCUGCUGUGUGUGUCCGGGGCGCUCACAGACAUGCUCCGGCAUCUGCCAUGUGUGUCCAGGGGAUUCACGUGCUCACAGACAUGCUCCGGCACCUGCCAUGUGUGUACAGGGCACUCAUGCGCUCACAGACACGCUCCAGCACCUGCCCUGUGUGUACAGGGUGCUCGCACACUCACAGACACAUUCCAGCACCUGCUGUGUGUGUACAGGGGCGCUCACAGACAUGCUCCAGCACCUGCCGUGUGUGUACAGGGCACUCACGUGCUCACAGACAUGCUCCGGCACCUGUCAUGUAUGUACAGGGCGCUCACAUGCUCACAGACGCACUCCAGCACCUGCCGUGUGUGUACAGGGCGCUCACAUGCUCACAGACGUGCUCUGGCACCUGCUGUGUGUGUACGGGGUGCUCAGACAUGUUCAAGCGCCUGUCGUAUGUGUAUAGGGCGCUCACACCCUCACAGACGCACUCCAGCACCUGCCGUGUGUGUACAGGGCGCUCACAUGCUCACAGGCGCACUCUGGCACGUGCCAUAUGUGUACAGGGUGCUCACGUGCUCACAGACACGCUCCAGCACCUGCUGUGUGUGUACGGGGAGCUCACGCACUCACAGACACGCUCCAGCCCCUGCCGUGUGUGUACAGGAACACAUGCAGGCCACAGGGGCAGCCAACUGAACACACUGCCUGGCCUGAGCUCAGGGAGCCUGGAGCUUCGGAGCAGGCCGGAGGGCAGAGGACAGCAUCAUCCUGAAGGUUAGGUUCUGGUACCUUGGAGGUUCCCGUCACGUCCUUGACUCAACUCAGAACCGCAGGAGGAGGUGGGGCUGGGGACGAUUGAUUAGUGUCAGGCAUAUGAGUCUGAGGCACCCGACAGAGUGUGGGCGUGAUGGUGUCGGGAUCGGAGGACAGAGCCCAGGGUGCCAGAGGAAGCCCCGUCCACCUGGGAGUGACGGUCGCAUCCUCGAGGUGAAAGAGAAGGCCGCGGAGAGCCUGCGCUGCUGGAGCGGGAGGAUGCCCUGACGUUCGCGUGUCUGGUGCGGCGCUUGGAGUCUGUAUGUUUUGAAGAGGCUGAGAGUUAACGGCAUGGCGCUCGCAGAUCUUUCGAGGCGUGACCGGGCCGGCUGCUGCGGGAGUGAGCCCCCUGGCUCGGCGUGAAUCUACCAAGUUGCCCGGCAUCCUGAGUUUUUCUUCCUCAUCGUGGUAGAGGCGGUAAUUCUCAUUUAGGUGAUUUACUUCUUUGUAGAAAAUGGUCAUCAAGUGAGAGUUACGCUUUAGCAAAAGUUAUCGAAGCGCUUACCUGGUGGCAGUGACUGAAACACAGGAGACGGGCCCCUGCCUCCAACACGACUCAGGAGGAAGCUCCGAACCUCUGCAGGUGUUCCGGCAUUUGCCAAGUUAGGACAUCCUGAAGGUUUAGGGUAUCUUGCGGCUGUCCCUGCCUAGCCCACUCCUAGAAACUAGAGGAGAAAUCAGCGAGGACAGAGAGGCAGAGCCAGAAGCUUCCCCUGACGCCGAACCCGCUGGAAGGUGGAGUUUCGAGGAGGAGAGUGUGCGCUUCAGAGAGCGAGGUGCAGAGGAGGACCAGUGCAGGGAACAGGCACUUGCUUUCUGCUUCAGGUCCUCGCUGGUGGAAGGCUCGUGUCGUUAGAGCGCUGCAGGCGGACCCGCUGCUCGGGAUUGCAGGCGUGUGUGCGAGGAGGCUCUCACAGGCACGUGGGUGAAGAGGAAGUGGACACGCGUGUGUGACUCUUGUGGAAGUCGAGUCCUGAAGGGAAGGGAGCCGGUGUAGGAGCUUGAGGGGGUGGCAGAGCUGGGGGCAGUUU